AACGCGAAGAACCUUACCUGGGCUUGAACUACGGAUGGUAAGCUGUUGGAAACAGUGGCUGACCCGCAAGGGAGUCCGCAGAGGUGCUGCAUGGUUGUCGUCAGCUCGUGUCGUGAGAUGUUGGGUUAAGUCCCGCAACGAGCGCAACCCCUAUUCGAUGUUGCUAAUCCCGCAAGGGAUGCACUCUUCGAAAACUGCCUUCGAUAAGAAGGAGGAAGGUGGGGACGACGUCAAAUCCUCAUGGCCCUUAUGUCCAGGGCUACACACGUGUUACAAUGGCCGGUACAAUGGGAAGCAAUGCCGUAAGGUGGAGCCAAACCCACAAAGCCGGCCCCAGUUCAGAUUGUGGGCUGCAACUCGCCCACAUGAAGGCGGAAUCGCUAGUAAUCGCUGAUCAGCAGGCAGCGGUGAAUACGUUCCCGGGCCUUGUA
rnacentral:rRNA from 1 species